AAUUUUCGAAUGGACAUUCAACUCCGUUUGACUUAAUUUAGCGCAUUAAAAUUAUCAAAAAGAUAAAUUUUGUAUUUUUUUGAUAUAUCUAGCUAGUGGUCGAAAGGUUCAAAACCAACAGUUAGAAAUAAAAAUCUCAUAAAAAGUGAUGAUAUGAUACUAAAAUUUUAAAUCAAAAAUUGAUUUUAUUUUAUAUAAUGUAAAGAAUUUUUUCUUCAAAUUUUAUGUGGUUUGGAUAUUUUUACACCGUUAAAUUUGCAAACUGCUCACCAAGAUUAUUAAAAUUAUUGAUUUUGAGUCUCUUCGAUCACUAGAUAAUUAAUAUUGAAAAUUUAUGAAAUUUAUUUUCUGCCUAUUUUAAAUACUCUAGAUCGAGUCAAAUGGAGUAGAUUGUCGAUUAAAAAGUCGCAGUAUAAAAAAUGACUUAAUAGUACAGUGACUAUCAUAUUUCUAAAAAAAGAACACACACACACACACACACACACACACACAUAUAUAUAUAUAUAUAUAUAUAUAUAUAGCUAGGCUCGUAUAUUAUCGGUAGCACAGAGGCCUCCGUACUACCAAAUUAUUUUCAAUGAUACUGCUUUCAAAUCGACGAUCGGCUACGUUAGACUUGAUCUACACUAUUAAAAAUAUUUGGAAACUAAACUUCAUAAUUUUUCGGUAACAGUUGCCUAUCAAACGAGUAGUCUAAAAAUGAAUGGCUGAAAAUAAAAAUCUCAUAAAAAAUAAUGAUAGAAGACUUGAAUUUAAGAUCAAAGAUACUGAUCUUACUCUAAAUAGUAAAAAAAAUUUUCUAUAAAAAUUUCAUCUAAUUUAGAUUGUUUUAUACCGUUAAAUUUACAAAUGCAUUACAUCUACCAUUAAAAUUGUCAAUUUUAAGACCUUUUGAUCACUAGCCAAAUAAUGUCGAAAAAUUAUAAAAUUUAGCUUUCAAAUAUUUUUAAUAGUGUAGAUCAAGUCUAACUGAGCCGAUCGUCGAUUUGGAAGUGGCAUCAUUGAAACAACUUGGUAGCAUGGAGGCCUCCGUGGUACCGAUAGUAUACCAGCCUAGCUCUAUAUAUAUAUAUAUAGAGAGUCCGGCUACUAUACUCUUAUGAGUAUAGUGUCUCUUGUACUUAUAAGUUUUUGACCGUUUGAUCUACCCUUUAAUCAUUUCACCCGUUAGAUUAUACUAUUCAACCAACCACCCACUCAAUUCUAAGGAGCCCACUAUCAACCUAAUCGUAACCACUCUCAUCCUAACCGCACAUUUUUUCAUCCGAACGGCCAAAAAGUUAUGAGUACAAAAGGCUCUAUACUCAUAUGAGUAUAGUAGCCCCAGCCUAUAUAUAUAUAUAUAUAUAUAUAUAUAUAUAUAUAGAGAGAGAGAGAGAGAGAGAGAGAGAGAGAGAGAGAGAGAGAGAGAGAGCUAGUCUUCUAUACUAUCUAUAGUACUGGGACUCCAGUACUAUAGUCUCGUUUUCGAUUUUAGGGUGUUCAAACCAACGAUCCACACCGUUAAAACUGAUCUAGAGUAUUUAAAAUUUUUAGAAAUAGAAUUUUAUAUUUUUUCGACAUAGUUUACUUUAUGAUCAAACUAUUUUAAAAUUGUCAAUUUUCAAUGGCUACUAUGGCGAGUUUGGAGUUUAACGGUGUAAAAGAAUCUAAUUUUUUUCAAAUUUUGAUAGAAAAUAUUUUAAACUAUCUGGAUUAAGAUUAACAUUCUUGAUCUUGGAUUUAAAAGUCCUAUGCUCAAAUUUUAAAGAUUAUUCAAUUUCCACCGUUCAUUUUGACAUAAUUUAUUAACUAAAUAAACGAUGUCGAAAAAAAUUAAAAUUUUAUUCCUGAGAACUUCAUAUACCCUAAAUCAUAUUUAACGGUGUGGAUCGUUAAUUUGAAUACCCUAAGAUCAAAAAGAAGACUAUAGUACCGGAGCUCCGGUACUAUAGAUAGUAUAGUAGCUUAAUUCUCUCUCUCUCUCUCUCUCUCUCUCUCUCUCUCUCUCUCUCUCUCUAUAUAUAUAUAUAUAUAUAUAUAUAUAUAUAUAUAUAGAACUAGGCUGGAAUACUAUCAAUAGCACCAAGCUAUUGGUGCUAUUAAGUUUUUAGCCCUUGGAUUAAGAAAUGUGUAGUUAGGAUGAUGUGGGCCCUCUAGGGUUGAGUGAGUGGUUGGUUGAAUAAUAUAAUCUAAUGGGUAAAAAUAAUCAUAGGAUUAAAUCUAACUGUGGAAAACUCGAUAGCAUCAAAUCGUUAGUGCUAUCGAUAGUACCUAGGGGUGGAACUGGGCCAGGCUUUGGUUGGGU
rnacentral:lncRNA from 1 species